rnacentral:tRNA from 1 species
GAGGGUAUAGCUUAGUGGUAGAGUGCAUGCUUAGCAUGCAUGAGGUCCUAGGUUUAAUCCACAGUACCUCCA